rnacentral:rRNA from 1 species
GUGGGGAAUUUUGGACAAUGGGCGCAAGCCUGAUCCAGCAAUGCCGCGUGCAGGAAGAAGGCCUUCGGGUUGUAAACUGCUUUUGUACGGAACGAAAAGGCUCUGGUUAAUACCUGGGGCUCAUGACGGUACCGUAAGAAUAAGCACCGGCUAACUACGUGCCAGCAGCCGCGGUAAUACGUAGGGUGCAAGCGUUAAUCGGAAUUACUGGGCGUAAAGCGUGCGCAGGCGGUUUUGUAAGACAGGCGUGAAAUCCCCAGGCUGAAACUGGGAAUGGCGCUUGUGACUGCAAGGAUGGAGUGCGGAAGAGGGGGAUGGAAUUCCGCGUGUAGCAGUGAAAUGCGUAGAUAUGCGGAGGAACACCGAUGGCGAAGGCAAUCCCCUGGGCCUGCACUGACGCUCAUGCACGAAAGCGUGGGGAGCAAACAGGAUUAGAAACCCUGGUAGUCC